rnacentral:rRNA from 1 species
GACGAACGCUGGCGGCGUGCUUAACACAUGCAAGUCGAACGGAAAGGCCCUGCUUUUGUGGGGUGCUCGAGUGGCGAACGGGUGAGUAACACGUGAGUAACCUGCCCUUGACUUUGGGAUAACUUCAGGAAACUGGGGCUAAUACCGGAUAGGAGCUCCUGCUGCAUGGUGGGGGGUGGAAAGUUUCGGCGGUUGGGGAUGGACUCGCGGCUUAUCAGCUUGUUGGUGGGGGAGUGGCUUACCAAGGCUUUGACGGGUAGCCGGCCUGAGAGGGUGACCGGCCACAUUGGGACUGAGAGACGGCCCAGACUCCUACGGGAGGCAGCAGUGGGGAACAUUGCACAAUGGGCGGAAGCCUGAUGCAGCGACGCCGCGUGCGUGAUGACGGCCUUCGGGUUGUAAAACGCUUUCGCCUGUGACGAAGCGUGAGUGACGGUAAUGGGUAAAGAAGCACCGGCUAACUACGUG